rnacentral:rRNA from 1 species
CAAAGGUGAGCCAGUACAGGAUGGACCCGCGUCUGAUUAGCUAGUUGGUAAGGUAACGGCUUACCAAGGCGACGAUCAGUAGCCGACCUGAGAGGGUGAUCGGCCACAUUGGAACUGAGACACGGUCCAAACUCCUACGGGAGGCAGCAGUGGGGAAUAUUGCACAAUGGGCGAAAGCCUGAUGCAGCAACGCCGCGUGAGUGAUGAAGGCCUUCGGGUCGUAAAACUCUGUCCUCAAGGAAGAUAAUGACGGUACUUGAGGAGGAAGCCCCGGCUAACUACGUGCCAGCAGCCGCGGUAAUACGUAGGGGGCUAGCGUUAUCCGGAUUUACUGGGCGUAAAGGGUGCGUAGGCGGUCUUUCAAGUCAGGAGUGAAAGGCUACGGCUCAACCGUAGUAAGCUCUUGAAACUGGGAGACUUGAGUGCAGGAGAGGAGAGUGGAAUUCCUAGUGUAGCGGUGAAAUGCGUAGAUAUUAGGAGGAACACCAGUUGCAAAGGCGGCUCUCUGGACUGUAACUGACGCUGAGGCACGAAAGCGUGGGGAGCAAACAGGAUUAGAUACCCUGGUAGUCCACGCUGUAAACGAUGAGUACUAGGUGUCGGGGGUUACCCC